CCUGGCUGGAGCUGUAAGGUCUGAUGCUGCAAACCAGGGUGGCGGUUUUCCCCAAGCAGCACCAGAGAAGCCUGACGUUCACCAGAAAGAAGGACACAGCGGCUUCCCGGAGAAGCCGGACAAGCGUGAGGCUGUGUGGUUCAGGUCCUCGGAGCGGCAGACACCGGGCUGGGAUCAGACGGCCUCCGUUUCCUCAUCUGUAAAUGUCAUAAUGCCACACUUGCUCCUCAUUGUGAACACGAUCGUGUGUGUAAAGAACCAACACAGAGCCCGGGACGGGGAGGUGCCCAGCAGCCCUUAGCGUCUGUCCUGUCCGCCCUCCUUCAGGCCAAGGUGCAGACGGAGAAUGGCUUCUUCUCGUUUUCCCUCAGCCCACCUCAAGGCUCACUGAGGGUUCGCCCACCACUGGCUUCCUCAGGGACGCCGCCAAGUCAGCCCUUCCCACGGCCUCUCCCGCCAGCCACCACCCUGCGCCCCAGGCCGCCCCACCCCUGCUCUGGUUGUUAAAGAAGUCACCGAGCUUCCCCAAGAGAACGCUGCAUGGGACAGAAGGAGUGCCUCUGUCCCCUCAUACUGGCUCCUCUGGGGCAGAGGAGCCCUGGGCAAGCUCGUGCAUCCCUGAGAGCUGAGGGCACCGCCUGACCCCUACCAUCACACAGCUACUCAUUCACGCUUCCCCGACUUUUAAGGAGCCUCCUGUCUCCAGGUCACUACUUCAGUGACACCUCAGCUGGACUCCUUUGCUCCAGGUUUCAUAAUAAACUCCACAGAAGAAGGCAAUUCCUGCAGGAAUCCUGCUGUGUGUAAGGUAUGGCGCUCUGCUCUUCACCCACAGUAACUCUGGUCUCACCUACAAAAUCAGCAUCUUAAUCCUACUGACCGUUGAGGAAGUUAAGACUCGGUGAGGCAGGCUGGCUCACCCACAGUCUGAAGUGGCGGCGGAUGGAUGCUGAAACCACUCUUACUGCCUGAGCAGAAAGCAGCGUGUGUGUCACACAGCAGGAGGCCAGAGAAGCAGGCUGGGCUGCCACAGCCAGGGACAGUGCAGCCUGGAGGAAAGCCCAAACACCCCCCGGGGGUGCUCUGGUUGAGAGGGCACCUUCUAUAACCAGAGGGCAGGGAGUGGAGCAGCA
rnacentral:lncRNA from 1 species